rnacentral:misc_RNA from 1 species
GACCCUGGAAUAGCAAUCCACAGCCAGCAAGAACCACAAACACCAAAUCGCCAGUCGUUAUAAGCAGGCAAGGCAAAACACAGGCAUACGGUAACACCUCCCUCUCUCUCUCGCACGCCGGCACACAGACACUCGCUCGCGCGCUCUCGCAGCACCUCAUUCUUCAUUUUUUUUUGUCCCCGCGCAGGCGCGGGCGAACGCGCACACAGAAACGAUCAGAAGAGGCAGAGGCUCCUCUCCUCCCCGCUUGCGAUCUACAGCCUUUCCUCAUCCCCCUCCCCCCAUCUACACCGCUUUCUUCUUCGGCCUCAGACGCACACAGACGCAUACACCACCUACUCUUUGUUUUCGUUUUUUCCUCCUUUUGUUUGCCCUUCUUUCUCCCUAUCAUUGAGAUCCACCCACCAUACCUCCCACACACACACACCUCCCUCCCUCCCCCUCCCCCUCCCCCCAUCCCUGCGCGCAGAAACCCCAACACGCACGGUUCUCUUCUGUCUUAAUAUUUUCUCUAGAAAAGACUUCGGUUACAUUCUCUCUCUUGGUGUGUUGUGUUGCGUUGCUUUUCGCUUCUCGUGCCGCCAUCCUUUGCUUGUUGGUGCUCCGUCUCUCCCUCGUUGUGCUGGUGUGCGUGCGCGUUGCCCACUCCCCCCCCCCUCCCCUCCUUCGGCUUGCCUGUCUGUUUGUUCGUUCGCGUCUCUGUGCCACGUCAUCGCGGUUGUUACGCAUCAUCACCAGCGCCGUCAUUAUUAACACUGUCACCCCCCCCUAACUCCCACCCUUCUCCCCCUCUAUCACUGCUUCCCCCCCCCCUCCUCCUCCCUCCCUCCCUUUUCUUCUCUCUACGUAUUUGCUGUCCCACCCUCCCACUCUGUCUGUCCCCGUCUUUCGCUUGUGCUCGUGUCUUCGCGGUCGCCAUCUCUCUUUCGCCUGUGCCUGUGCCUGUGCCUCUUAGCGCACUGCUGGCAGCGUUCACUUACGUCUCUCUCUCUUGUGCUUGGGCUUUUUGCUUUCGGUGUUUGGGCGGCGUCUGCCAAAAAAGGGGGGAAACACGCGUCGUCGCCUCCCGCUGUUGUCUCGUCACUCUUCUCCUUCCUGGGGCUCUUUGCUUAGCUUUCUGUGCUUCUCGACCUCCCGCUGUCCCUCCUGUGCGUGCGUGGGGCGUCACCGAGUAGAAAGGGGUGCGUGCUUGGCUCGGCACGUGCGUCUCUGUGUUGAGGACAGGUGUGGCACGUGCAUCUCCGUGUUCAUGUAUACAUUCCCUGUGUCUUCAUCUUCCAUUCUUUUUGGAUUUUCCUAUUAGUGCCGACGUUUCCACCGUCGCUGCGGUUGAGGGUGGAGCGGUCGUCCCGCCAACCAGCAUCUGCCUUGCCCGAAACGGUUCGUUCGCGUUGCGUGUGUGUGGCUCUUCGUCGGUCGGUCGGUCGCCUCUCGCUCUGUGCUCCUUCGCGCUCCUUCCUUCAGCUGUGGCGUGUUGUCUGUUCCUCUCGUCGAAGGCCAACACCGGCCAACGCCGAAAAACUCGCCAUCUAAGACGAACCGACGAGGGCGCUCAGACACACACACUGCAUCGAGAGAGUGAGCAGAGGGGGUCUGCUGUCCUUCUCUAGCACUUCGCUUACAGAGCAGCCACCCCCUUCUCUCCCUGCACAACACAGCAUUUCUUAGCUCGAGUGAGGUGGUUACCGCUCUCGAGCGUCCCGCGUACUCGCAGGCAGCACGUACACACAGUGGCCAGAGGAGCUGCCGCAACCGGCCACCACACCCGCGUGCACUCUCCGCUUGCUUAUUUUUAUUUUUUUUUGUUCGGAGAGGGUCGAGAGUAGGGCGUUUGCUUUUCGCUCGCGUUGCAUCUUCGCAACACGCAGCGCUGCUGUUUUUCGAAGUGCCGAGCAGAGAAGCGGCAGGAAGAGAAUCAGAGUCGCUCAAGUUGGGUUGCUCGGUUCAGGUCCUUUGUUUGU